rnacentral:rRNA from 1 species
CCUACGGGAGGCAGCAGUGGGGAAUAUUGCACAAUGGGGGAAACCCUGAUGCAGCGACGCCGCGUGAGUGAAGAAGUAUUUCGGUACGUAAAGCUCUAUCAGCAGGGAAGAAAAUGACGGUACCUGACUAAGAAGCCCCGGCUAACUACGUGCCAGCAGCCGGGGUAAUACGUAGGGUGCAAGCGUUCUCCGGAUUUACUGGGUGGAAAGGGAGCGUAGACGGCUGCGCAAGUCUGGGGUGAAAUCCCAUGGGUUAAACAUGGAACUGCUUUGGAAACUGGGCAGCUAGAGUGAAGGAGAGGUAAGCGGAAUUCCAGGUGUAGCGGUGAAAUGCGUAGAUAUUAGGAGGAACACCAGUGGCGAAGGCGGCUUACUGGACUGUAACUGACGUUGAGGCUCGAAAGCGUGGGGAGCAAACAGGAUUAGAUACCCCGGUAGUC